CCAACGUCGGGUAUUUGCAAGCGACAACCGUGAUGGGUGACCCCCCCUCCAUGGGGGUCGGAUUUUAUUACGACUUUACGGUCGGAGAGACACGUAAGGUUGCUUAAAGAUACAUUGUGUUUAUUUAUAGGUAAGGCGGGAGCUUUCGCAUCGGGCGACCCCUCAUCGCCCCAGGGAUCUUCUUAUUACCACCUUUUUUUCCUUUAUUUUAUAUUCAUUCUUCACCAUACGGCGAGUUGGACGGUUGUGGCGAGCGGGACCUCGGUGCCAACU